UACGGAGGAUGCAAGCGUUAUCCGGAAUGAUUGGGCGUAAAGCGUCCGCAGGUGGCAAUGUAAGUCUGCUGUUAAAGAGUCUAGCUCAACUAGAUAAAGCAGUGGAAACUACAUAGCUAGAGUACGUUCGGGGCAGAGGGAAUUCCUGGUGUAGGCGGUGAAAUGCGUAGAUAUCAGGAGGAACACCGGUGGCGAAGGCGGAUCUCUGGGCCUU
rnacentral:rRNA from 1 species